rnacentral:rRNA from 1 species
AUGUUCAGGGUAAUGGAAAUCUUGUAUGAUAAUCUGCACAUAGUUGAUACUAACAAUAGAAUGAUGACAUGUUUGUUUUUGGGCAUAAAGUUAUGUGCUGAUCCUCUUGCAUUUGGAUUCCGGUCUUACCCUGACUAUGCGGAUAUGCUAUUCUAUGUUGGUUUUACGUUUCUUAUUGGAAGAGUGAGAUGCCCAGGACAGAAUCCAGUUUGUAUCAACGCCUCAUUGGUAAGCACGCUCAGGUUUAAUGUUACUGCAAUUUCCUCCCUAAUUUCAGCCCUAGGAACUAUACCAGAUCAUCAUAAGGGUGUGUGA